UACGAAGGGGGCUAGCGUUGCUCGGAAUGACUGGGCGUAAAGGGCGCGUAGGCGGAUGGCACAGUCAGAUGUGAAAUUCCCGGGCUUAACCUGGGGGCUGCAUUUGAUACGUGUGAUCUAGAGUGAGGAAGAGGGUCGUGGAAUUCCCAGUGUAGGGGUGAAAUUCGUAGAUAUUGGGAAGAACACCGGUGGCGAAGGCGGCGACCUGGUCCUUGACUGACGCUGAGGCGCGAAAGCGUGGGGAGCAAACAGG
rnacentral:rRNA from 1 species